rnacentral:misc_RNA from 1 species
UUGAAAAGUUAGCGAAUUAUAAAGCUUCUUUUACAUUAUAAUUUAUGUUACAUACAAUAACGUAGGUCAUUUCAGUUUUUACAUGUUUAAUGCUUUAUAAAUAAUAAUAGUUGGAGAACUUUGACGUAUUUUUAGGAGUUUUGUAUCAAAUGAGCAAGUAGCGCUGAAACAAUCAAAUAAAGUUCGUGAAGAUGUCUGAAAAAUCCCCACUAUUGCAAAACGAACAACGCAAUUAUGCUCAAGGAAGUCAGUUCGGAGAAAGACUUUUGGAUCUACCAGUACCAACAGCACCACCAACACAAAAUGAAGGACAUCUGGAAGUUGAAAAUGUUCUUCCUCCUCCAUAUUCACCUUACUCUUCAUCCGCAGGUGCAGAAAUACCAAUGAUCCCUUGUAAAGUCUGUCACACAAUGAUUGACAUUCAAGGAAAAUUAAACCAGUUUGUUGUGAAAUGCAAUAACUGCAAUGAGGCAACGCCAAUAAAAAAUGCUCCUCCUGGAAAGAAGUAUGUACGAUGUGUGUGCAAUUGUUUGCUGAUUUGUAAAGCUGAAUCACAGAAAAUCAUUUGCCCCCGACCAAACUGUAAGAGGGUUACCAAUCUGGCAACUCAUACUGUCUCUCAACCAGUUACAUGUAUUCCUGGAAUGUGUAGGAUUUCUUGUGGUCACUGUCACAGCACCUUCUUGUUCAACACCCUGAGUAAUUCAUUGGCAAGAUGUUGUUCCUGCAGAAAAGUCUCCUCAGUGGGUUAUGAGUUUGCGAGAAGAAGAGGAUUCAUUUAUCUACUACUAGCCUUUGUAUUUCUUAUCAUAGCACUUGGGUUAACGUAUAGCCCUUCCAAACCCAGAAUCAUCUUGGCAGCUCUUCUCUGAACUCUCUUCAACAACUCAACAUCCUGUCUUAAAUAAGGUGACCAAAACUGAUCACAAUAUUCCAAAACAGGUCUAACUAUCACCUUAAAGAUUGAACUGAUGACUUCCUAUUACUUGAAUUCAAGAUGCCAAUAUUGGAACAUAUGAAAUAGCAUCAACUGCUGGUGGAAUUGUUGUUGUUUAUAUAGGAGGAUUUAUUUCCUUUUUUGGAUUUCUUAUCAAAUCUUUAUACUUUUUUACCAUGAAAGUCAGCACAAUUGAGGGUCCAG